rnacentral:lncRNA from 1 species
UCGAACCUAAAACCUUAUUUCAUUCUCUGCGGUGUUUUCCAAUGAAUUGAACACACUGUCUUAUAGAAUAUCUCUAAUUGAAAGUAAAGGUACGUUAUCAUUCAAAUCAAAUCUUGUUCUUGAAUCAAUAGUACUUUUAUAACUUUGUCUUUAUCUUGAUUUUUGAAUCAAUUUUUUCCUAACUUGUUCGCUUUCUUUGUUUGAUUUGUUGAAAUCAAAUCUUCUAUGUUUGAUUUGUUGAAAUCAAAUCUUCUAUGUUCGUUUUGUUGAAAUCAAAUCUUUGAAUCAAUAAUAAUUUUUGAUAUUUUCAAGUUUUUUAUUUCCCAUUUAACUUUUGUCAUGAAAGUCUCUUUGUUAAAUUUUGUAAUACUAAAGCAAUGUGAAUCGUAUGUCAGUACAAUCUUUCACUAUUUCUCGUCGACAUUAAAUACAAUGUUUAUAUUGUUUAUAUCAUUCCAGAUUUCUAAAACUAUGUUUAGAACACUACAUGAAUAAGCUAGGGAACGAGACUUUGAAACUAUUUACAACCAUUAAAUUUCUUGAGAUAUAGUAGUAGGAUAAAAUAUCAGUCUGGCAUCUUUUCUAAAUUAUAGAUUGUGUUUAGUAUUUGUCAGCAACUAUUUUUAGAUGGUAGUUUAUUAGUACAUCUCGACAUCUCAUCUCAUUGAGGGCCGUAAAACUUCACUAAUAAUUAAUGUUAUUGUCACAUUGGUGCCUCAUAAACAUCCACAAACUAGAUUGUAUUUCUGAUGCCAUUACAAAGAUAUCUAGUUAUCUACCAUAUAUGCGUAUUAAUAAUUUUCUUGUUUACACUUGACAUGCUUUGUAAGUUUUUUUUUUUAGAUAAAUUGGUGGAGUUUUAUUGAAAUAUAAAAAGCUGUUUACAAGCCUGAUCAGCCCACACAACAAGCCAUGGGAUUAGGUAAGUGAAAAAUAGAAUUGGUUAAACAGAAUUUCACCUACAGAAAACAGCUUCUUCAAUUCCCCCAUUUCUGGCAGAAUUAAAGCACACUUCUAAGGAAGUAGUAAGACAUUCCAGUUGACUAUAAGGUCUGCAAAGGAGUAGUCCUUGUUUCUGAGUGCGCCACAGAUCCAAAACCAAAGGAUGCUCUUAAUUUUGACACAAUGUACAUCAUGUUGUGGCGUGACAGAGACAGACUUGAAAAUGGCUCGAUUCCUCUUUAACCAAAUGGCUUGAUUCCUUGUUAAUAUAUGUAUUUUGUAAGUUUGUAUGCAAUUGAGUAGAAGAGAUAGUCGCAUCAGAUGAGUUCUUCCAGAACCAUUUGCUAAUGUUAGUCGCAUCAGAUGAGUUCUUCCAGUGAAGAUUAACUUUUUUUGUUUUUACAGAUGAUCGAUUAUUCAUUUAUUUGACUGUUUUUGUUAGUUGUAUAUACAUUUGGGAAUUCAAGUAUUAUAAGGAUGUCCAUGUUUUAUUGUAUAUUGUCAUAUAUCUCUAUAUGAGUUCAGAAAGACACUGAACUUUGCCA